rnacentral:rRNA from 1 species
AUUGAACGCUGGCGGCAGGCCUAACACAUGCAAGUCGAGCGGAUGAAGGGAGCUUGCUCCUGGAUUCAGCGGCGGACGGGUGAGUAAUGCCUAGGAAUCUGCCUGGUAGUGGGGGAUAACGUCCGUAAACGGGCGCUAAUACCGCAUACGUCCUGAGGGAGAAAGUGGGGGAUCUUCGGACCUCACGCUAUCAGAUGAGCCUAGGUCGGAUUAGCUAGUUGGUGGGGUAAAGGCCUACCAAGGCGACGAUCCGUAACUGGUCGGAGGGGAUGACCAGUCACACUGGAACUGAGACACGGUCCAGACUCCUGCGGGGAGAAGCAGUGGGGAAUAUUGGACAAUGGACGAAAGCCUGAUCCAGCCAUGCCGCGUGUGUGAAGAAGGUCCUCGGAUUGGAAAGCACUUUAAGUUGGGGGGAAGGGCAGUAAGUUAAGACCUUGCUGUUUUGACGUUACCAACAGAAUAAGCACCGGCUAACUUCGUG